GAUGAAGAACGUAGUGAAAUGCGAUAAGUAAUGUGAAUUGCAGAAUUCAGUGAAUCAUCGAAUCUUUGAACGCACAUUGCGCCCGCCAGUAUUCUGGCGGGCAUGCCUGUUCGAGCGUCAUUUCAACCAUCAAGCCCCCGGCUUGUGUUGGGGACCUGCGGCUGCCGCAGGCCCUGAAAACCAGUGGCGGGCUCGCUAGUCACUCCGAGCGUAGUAAUACAUCUCGCUCAGGGCGUGCUGCGGGUUCCGGCCGUUAAAAAGCCUUAUUUACCCAAGGUUGACCUCGGAUCAGGUAGGAAGACCCGCUGAACUUAAGCAUAUCAAUAAGCGGAGA
rnacentral:misc_RNA from 1 species